rnacentral:misc_RNA from 1 species
AUAGUACAUUGAAUUGCAACUUUGCGUGAGUGUAAAAUUCCAAGUCGCUUCCUUGAUACUUUAGAUCCAUCGUAACAUUUCGCAUGAACCCAGUGUCCCAAUUACUUACGAACGGAAGUGUAUGUACACGUGUAAUAAUUGAUCGUGUCUAAAUCUGGCGGAGAAACGCAAAAGGAAAGUGAUUUUUCUCCGAUUGAAACUGGAUUGGAUGGAAGAAACCCCGUUUUAGACGUAGCAAGGUCAUAUUGAUUGGGAAUGAUUUUAAUUUGUAAUGGUAAACUGUGUGUUAUACGAAGAAUGUAGGAAACGAGGAUUACACGGUUUUAAUGAUUGCAAGAAAAGGACGAAUGAAGAAAUAGUAACUGGAGAAGUGCCUAUUAACCCUUUGCACUUCUAUGUCGAGUGUGACAUCAGUUUUUAUCUCAGGAGCUCCUUUGUCGAGUUCCACUCGACAUUCUUUCAGUUUCACCUUUUUUUGUGAAAUGUGCGAAAGAAAACCAGGAUUGCAUCCUGGAAAUUGUUUUAGGAUAUAUCAUACACUUAAAAAUUACAAAAUACAACAAUAGUGUGAAUAAAACUGGAAUUUAAGUGAAUAUGUUUCUUCCUCUAUUUAUU